ensembl:lncRNA
AAGGGGAAAUCAGAGGUAGAAGGCAGCCUUCCCUGAAACUCCAGAGAGGAAGUAGCAAGGCCAAGAAGAACGAAAGGUCUGGCAAUGCACUGUGUUCACAUGCCUCCCACCUGACUUCAUGUGAUCUGAUACUAUGUAGUGAUAUCAAAGGCACUCUGGUUGAGGAUAUCAAGUUUGCAUCUUUAUUUCCUGGAAUGUUGUCAAUCAACGUCAAACAAGCCCUAAAUAAAAUCUGAGCCAACUGGAACAGAGACCUCAGGCACAAAGGACAAGUCUGACAGUGGA